rnacentral:lncRNA from 1 species
CCAGCCGUGCCGGACCGGCCAAGAGUCUUGGCCGACCCUAUUAGCCAACUAGCCACAAGCAAGCACCGACCGCAUCCGUGGGCGCAAUUCAGAGAGGCACGAUUUUGCCGACAACCUCGGUGCGCAGAGGCACGGCACGCCCGUCGAGCGCCUGGACCCUGAGGACAUCGGGAAAGGGUGCCGCGUCGUCGCCGAGGCUAAUCAGCACAAAGGGUUCGCCUCUGUCGUCGGCCUGCACGCUGAUCGCCCACACGUCUCGGUGCCCUCCCCACAUUGACAUGGCCUCGCAGCGCACCGCCGCGAUGACGUCGUCCUCUUGCUCUCGGUGCACGCUCAUGGACGCUCCGUUGUCGUCGUUGGUUUGUUUUCGGCACCCUUUUUUCCGUUCGUUGUCACCACCACGAUCGACCUUUUGGCGUGCAUUUUGUUGCGCCUGCUGGGGCGCCUUUUUUUCCCUUUGAUUGGCCGCCAUCGUCCAACAGCCCGCAGAAACCUUUUGUCCUUUUCUUAUUUGCGCUGGGGCGAUGCGCUGCCAGACAAAGAAAAAAAGCGAUUCGCA